UAUCACUGAGACAACUGGGAAGCCCUUAAUCACCUUGGAUGUUUUUAAAUAUACAGAACUUUUGUAGAAGAGCUUUCUUUGGAAAGGACUCUGGUGGGAGGCAAGCAGGCCUAUGACCAGGGGUAUAGGGGAGCUCUUCAGGGUGUGAGUUAAAUGUGUGGUCUGUACAGUAAAUCCCACGUGGUAAAGAGAUCUCUAAGACUAAUUUUGCUGUUGUCAUUUUUCUUACACCAGGUCUUCAAUGCAACAAAAUGGAUUGAAUAGUACAAGUAAAAUGCUUAGAACAUGCCUGGCUCAUGGCAGAUUCUUCACCAACUGAGCUCUCAGGGAAGCCCUCCCAAGGUGAGAAGGACUCAAAAGACACCCACACACUUUCUCAGUGGACUACGAUGGAACCCAAACUUCUCCGGAGGAAGCAUAAGAGGAAUACAGUAGCAGAGCCCUUAGAGACACUAAAAUAGUCUUUCUAAAAUGCUGUCACAACAAAAAUCAGCUUCUUCUUCUUGGUGGAAGCUAUACACUCCAUUCCUUUCCUCUUUCUCAAGUCUUUCAUAAAGGUUCACCUUCUUCUGGAAAAUCUCUCCUGGGUCCCCCAAAGCCACCUAGAAGUCAAUUCCAUCUAUCUGGUGCCAGAACUCAGCACACGUUUUCUUCCAUUAGCCCUUCUAUAGCAGCUACGCUAAACCACGCACUGUGCCGGGUGUUCUGCCAGAAGAUGAAAAGACACAGCCCUACCCUGACGACCUGUCUCUCAGGAGGAGAUGGUUAUGGAUUCAGAGGUACUAUCAGAGGUCAUAUGGAUUGGUUCUUACAGGUUCAAUACAGCUGUAACCAAAGGCUUAUUGUCAGGGAGGCCCUGUAAGAACUAACCACUGAUAUAGACAGGAGACCCUGGAGGCUUUAGGGCCUGGACUAGAAGCAUAGUAGCUUCCAUUCAGGUAAGGCUGGGGAUACAUUCUUUAUCUAGAUACUAAAGUUCCUGUGUGCUUCCAAAACUUUUAUGGAUGGGAAGUUUUGCAGCCUUGCCCCCCUCCCAAAAACAUCAAGUACUGAUAUUUCUUGGGAUAUUUCUGUGACCUGCCCCAGUGCAGGGCUCAUUUUGAGUUUUAGGGGUGGUCCUGCCUGGAGGUGCACAGUGAGCUGAGGUGGCAAAGAAAGCUGGGAUUGGUCCCACCUGUUUUUUUUCUGGACCAGUUAACUGCCCCCAUCUAUCUCUUCCCUUCCUAAAGCAUUUUUCUCUUUAAUAUAAACUCUACUAGAUUUUUUAAAAUUUUAAAUGUUAUCCCUCUAUGGUGAUACUAGCAUGUUUCUGUAUAUCCUGCCUUUGUUUCUCAUGCAAAUGUAUGAACAGAUCUUCCUUGACUUACAGUGGGGAUUGCCUCCUGAUGAACCCAUCCCAGAUGGAAAAUAUCAUGAGUCGAAAAUGCACUUACCCUCCUGAACAUCACAGGCAGUUAGCCCCGCCUGCCUUAAACGUGCUCAGAACACUUACAUCAGCCUAGAGCUGGGCAAGAUCAUCUCACACAAAGUCCAUUUGGUAACACCCCACCUCCCCACAUGUAAUAUACUGAAAGCAGAAAAACAGAAUGGAUAUCUGAGUACAGAAUGGUUCUAAGUGCAUCAGUUGUUUACCACAAUUGCAGGGCCAACCAGGAGAUGUGGUCACUGCCACAGCCCAGCAUCACAAGACUCUAUUGGAGUGCAUGUCCCUAGGCCAGGAAAAGAUUGAAAUUCAACCUUGGGUUCCUGUUGAACACGCAUGGCUUUCGUACCAUGGUUAGGUUGUAAAAUCAUAAACCAAAACUCUGCCAAGUCAGGGACCAUCACUGUGUUGUAUAGAAGUGGAAUAACAUACAUCACUCAGCAACUUGAUCUCUUUGUUAAACACUAUAUUAUUACCUUAGAGACUCCUUUCCAGGUUAUUACAUGUAAAUCGAAGUUAUUAUUUUUAAAAUAUGCAAAAUGUCUCACUAUGUGGAUAAACCAUGCUUUUGUCAACCAGCACCCUACUGAUGGAUUUUUAAGUCACUCUGAUAUUUCUUGUCACUCUAAGCGAUUUUGCAAUAAAUGGUCUUUUACAUA